UGAUUUUGAUAGUUAUAAUUUGGUUUUCACAGUGUAUUGUCCGUACUGUCUUUUUGAUUAUGCAAAGAAGAACUCGAAGAUGGAAGAGAAGGAACAUCUCCAGAUUAUUGAUGCAAAAGAAUGUGUAAUUUUGAUGCAAGAGAAGGAACAAUUCCAGAUUAUUGAUGUGAAGAAUAACUCAGUAGGGCAGAACACUACUGCCUCUUAUUGGCAAGAUGAGAGGAGUUGGUAUCCUGCUUCUCUCUCAGACUCAAGUAUCUUGUAGAGGCUACGAAAGAAGCAACCAAUUUUUAUAAUGACCAAAGCUAGCAGCUGCUUGUGUAUAAAGGAGCCAACAUUAGAGGCACCAGUAAUACAGUAAUAUUGAUUCAGUGUACAAA